rnacentral:rRNA from 1 species
UAUACAUGCAGUCGAGCGGACGUUUGAGAGCUUGCUCUCAAACGUUAGCGGCGGACGGGUGAGUAACACGUGGGUAACCUGCCUGUAAGAUUGGGAUAACUCCGGGAAACCGGAGCUAAUACCGAAUAACAUUUUGAACCGCAUGGUUUAAAAUUGAAAGAUGGUUUCUGCUAUCACUUACMGAUGGACCCSCGGCGCAWUAGCUAGUUGGUGARGUAAUGGCUCACCMAGGCCACCAUKCCUAGCCCACCUGAGAGGGUGAUCGGCCACMCUGGGACUGAAACCCGGCCCAAACUCCUACCGGAGGSAGCAGUAGGGAAUCUUCCGCMAUGGACCAAAGUCUGACCGAACAACCCCCCGUGAACCAUGAAGGCUUUCGGGUCGUAAAGUUCUGUUGUUAGGGAAGAACCAGUACCARAAUAACUGCYGGUACCUUGACCGUACCUAACCAGAAAGCCACCGCUAACUACCUGCCAGCAGCCSCCGUAAUACCUAAGUGGCAAGCGUUGUCCGGAAUUAUUGGGCGUWAAGCSCGCSCCRGCRGUUUCUUAAGUCUGAWGUGAAAGCCCACSGCUCAACCGUGGAAGGUCAUUGGAAACUGGGGAACUUGAAUGSAGAAGAAGAAAGUGGAAUUCCACGUGUAGCCGUGAAAUGCCUAAAGAUGUGGAAGAACACCAGUGGCCAAAGCCACUUUCUGGUCUGKAACUGACGCUKAAGCCCCAAAGCCUGGGGAGCAAACCGGAUUAGAUACCCUGGUAGUCCACCCCCUAAACCAUGAAUGCUAAGUGUUAGAAGGGUUCCGCCCUUUAGUGCUCCACUA